rnacentral:rRNA from 1 species
AUUGAACGCUGGCGGCAUGCCUUACACAUGCAAGUCGAACGGACGCGGGGGAGAAGCUUGCUUUUCCUGCCGGCGAGUGGCGAACGGGUGAGUAAUACAUCGGAACGUGCCCUGUAGUGGGGGAUAACUAGUCGAAUGAUUAGCUCAUACGGCAUACUACCUGAGGGUUAAAGUUGGGGACCGCACUGCCACAGGGUGUAGGAGCGGCCGAAGUCCGAUUAGCGAGUUGGUGGGGUAAAGGCCUACCAAGGCGACGAUCAGUAGCUGGGCUGAGAGGACGAUCAGCCACACUGGGACUGGGACACGGCCCAGACUCCUACGGGAGGCAGCAGUGGGGAAUUUUGGACAAUGGGCGAAAGCCUGAUCCAGCAAUGCCGCGUGUGUGAAGAAGGCCUUCGGGUUGUAAAGCACUUUUGUCCGGAAAGAAAUGGCUCUGGUUAAUACCUGGGGUCGAUGACGGUACCGGAAGAAUAAGGACCGGCUAACUACGUGCCAGCCGCCGCAGUAA